CAAAGGUGUUCUAGAAAACUUUUUUCUUCGUUGACAAGAUCAACUGAAAGAAAAAAACAAGGCCAGCAGGCCCAAAUGGACAGCUAUCAAUGAGACACAUUGCACGGGGACUACAUGCUGCCAAGAUCGUGUCAUACACUCAAGCGCGGGCGUAAACUGGAGUUUAAAGGAACAGGUCCCGCUUGGCAAAAGUGGCUCAACAAAAGCGUGUGGUGGCCAAACCAUAAUUAAGAAGUCAGGUGGUUGGCAACAAGUACAACAAUGGUCGUGGGAUAAGAGCGCAAAAAGAACGAC